GACGAACGCUGGCGGCGUGCUUAACACAUGCAAGUCGAACGGUAAGGCCCUUCGGGGUACACGAGUGGCGAACGGGUGAGUAACACGUGGGUGAUCUGCCCUGCACUUCGGGAUAAGCCUGGGAAACUGGGUCUAAUACCGGAUAGGACCACUGCCUGCAUGGGUGGUGGUGGAAAGCUUUUGCGGUGUGGGACGGGCCCGCGGCCUAUCGGCUUGUUGGUGGGGUGAUGGCCUACCAAGGCGACGACGGGUAGCCGGCCUGAGAGGGUGACCGGCCACACUGGGGCUGAGAUACGGCCCAGACUCCUACGGGAGGCAGCAGUGGGGAAUAUUGCACAAUGGGCGCAAGCCUGAUGCAGCGACGCCGCGUGAGGGAUGACGGCCUUCGGGUUGUAAACCUCUUUCAGCACCGACGAAGCGCAAGUGACGGUAGGUGCAGAAGAAGGACCGGCCAACUACGUGCCAGCCGCCGCGGUAA
rnacentral:rRNA from 1 species